AUGGAAAGCAUUGGUUCGCGCUGUGUAUCCAAAUUGAGCGAGUCACAGUUUCCCGAUGCACCACGUCAAGCUCCGCGUUGUUUCCUAGGCAAUCAUGAAAUCAACCCACGCAAUUUACAUGAUAUCAAUUAUUUUCAUUAUUUACAACACACCGACAAUGGUGCGCGCCCAGGGUGACGGAGCGUGCAUGGACCAAAUGGGCAUUAAGACAGACCAACAAGAAAAAUUGAAAACCUUGAAAAAAUACUAUUGCAUAUCUCAGUGCAUGGGCGGGUUUGGAGGUGAAGUGGAUUUCUGUAAAAGCGAUGGAAUUUGUCUGGAGCAACCUACAGCCCCAUCUGGAUACUCCGCGGCAAUGAACAUGCCACGCACGUGAAUAUUUAGGAAAAUCAACAUGCAAAAAUUCUAUUCGAAGAUAUGAAUUUAUAAUUUUAAAAUUUUCUAACACUGUUAAGUUGCGAAAAGCAAUUGAUGGAAUUAAUAAUCACGAAAUUAAUUAAAAUAAAAAUU